rnacentral:lncRNA from 1 species
UGUUGAUCCAGAAAACAGGGGUCGCAGCAAACUUCAAGAAGAAAUUAAAUACAAUUGCCUUAUAAGCUUAUCAUUUUCCAUCAUCCAAACCAAAGUUCACUUCCAUCCCAAGAUCACCAUGAAAAUUCUUUUCCACUCAAUCUGUUGUCUGCAAAAUUGGCUAACUCAAUCUCCUAUCAAAUUUAUUACAAUUAUUGAAAUGAAACAUCACCACCUAGAGCAAACCUAAAUUUGCUUUACAGCCUCAAAUUCCAAAAAUCCACCCCAUAACAUCAAUUAAUUAUCAACCAAAUCUCAUGAAAC